rnacentral:lncRNA from 1 species
GUUUUGCGCUUAUGGAUUAUAACGACAAAACGGGAUUGCCUCUCAGUGGACCUCCACACGUGUUUGACAAAACUCUCCGAAGAUGACAUCCUGACGUAGGUUCUUGUGUGGGAGCUGAGGUCUUUUCCCAGACACAACAGAAGCCAGAGCCUGUGGUUGAUUUCAUGACUUCCUCCUCAUUGUUUGCCUGUCUGCGUGACUGGAAACCGGCAGUGACAGACCGAUGACUCCGGCCUCUCUUUAACCAGGCUUGUGGAGAAACUGGACCUGGCUCCCUCUGAAGUACUUGAUGUCCAAAUUAUCUCGGCACAAUGCUGCCAAGUCAUUUUGCUGGUUUGCACACAACUCUGCACCUAGUGGUCACUUUGGAGUUCAGCAGCAAAGAGCAUCAGGAAGCAUUACCACAUCACUCACAGUUCAGCUCUCCGGCAAUGCCCUGACCUCCUGAACCCUGACCUUAAAUGACCUCUCUUCGUACUCUCGGUUUAACUAGCUCAGCGGCUCUCAGUAUCAGCCUUCAGCGUGGGAACCGCACAUAACUGAUGGCCGAGUGUGGAGGAUAGUCGUGUUCUGGUUCUGAAUGAUACCUCUGGGCUAAAGCGGGAAAGCGUGGACAUAUCUCUCCAUCUGCUUCCCUGUGACAUCAAAGGAAAAGCCUUGGAUUCUACGGCCUAUAUAUAAAACCUGCAGGAAGACAUGUGUUAUUCUGGCUCUCUUCCUGUAACCUAAGGCUGAUCUCGAACACUCUUUUUCUCAUUCUCUCUCACUUUGUCUGCUUUGUGCUGAAGUGGACACUCUUAUGACUAAGUGUUGUCAUUUUAUGUGCUUCUUUCAUGUUAUACAGUCUUCUUAAAGUGAUAGUUCACCCAAAAAUUCUUUCUUCAUUUACUCAUCUUCUACUUCUGCUCAACCGGUUUGAGUUUCUUUCUUCUGUCAAAUGCCAAUAAUGAAGAUAUUAAAGAAUGCUGGUAAGAAGCAGCCACUGACAUUUUGGUUUCUACUGUGAAUGUCAGUGCUGCUGGUUUGCAAUAUUGUUCAGAGUAUGUACAGUACUAAAUAGUAAGGGAGUUUUUUAUUUUAGGAUGAACUUCUGGAUUAACCUUUUAUUUUUGGAUCUUGGGGUUAAAAGUACAGCUACCUAAAAAGGAAAAUCCUGUUGUUGUUUUUUUUCACCCACAUGCCAUAAACAGAAAAAUACACACAGAGAAAAUUACAUUUGCUGCUUAUUUUAAUUACAGUUUGAAAAUGUUCAGUAUUUUUGUUCAUUAUUGUUCAGUCGGCUUAAAUGUGUAUAAAAAAAGUCUGUAAGAGCCAUAGUUUGAUUUAAUACAACUUAUUAUUAGUGCUCUUAUUCAUGUACAGUUUACACUUGUUUACAUGUUUACUUGUGUGAAUUUGUUGAUUUCUCCCUAUUCUUUUGGUUGAAACGGUUUGCUGUAUUAUGUAUUAUUAUUAAGUUUUAUUAUGAUAUAGAAAAAUGAAAGAAACAAGACCGGAGUUUAUUGUCAUGCUGUUUGAAAAUUCAGUAAACAUCUUUAAAUGGAAAGAAACCCAAUUCAAUUUAUUGUCGGACUGAUUUUGAAAUUUUGAGUUUAAAUAGUCCUUAUUUUAUGUUAUUUAUUAAAUUAUUUUUGUUGAUAUUACUAACUGAGUAGUAAAUUUAUAAUUUCCUUCCCAGCAUAAUUUUUACUAAGUAAAGGGUUAGACCUAUUUAAUCUCCAUUUAUUUUAAAUAUAUGGAAGAGUUUCAAUUGAAGUUUUGAGUUCGGAGGUUAUUCCUAUGCAAUAAUUAUUGUUUCUUCACUCAACAAUUCAUUUGUUAUUACCAGUUUGAGAUCAGUCUCUUUUUACUUGUUCAAUCCAUAUGUUAUAUAUGGAACAAAAUAAUAAUUUUAAACUGUAAUUUUGUUUGUCGAAAUUAGAUGAUUAAGAUGACUAAAUUUGCUAAAUAAUUCAAAUAAAAGUGAUGAAAUCUUGUUGGUUCAGAA